GGGACGCGCCGGCGCCGCGCGGGACCCGGGGAGGCGCACAGCUCGCUUACCUGAUGAUGAAAGGGCUCUCUCUCGGGCCAGCGCCCGGGCAGUUUCGGCCACCUCGGCCCGGGCAGAUCCACAAUGGGGUGACUGACGACCGAGGACGAGCCGGAGCCUCCACGGCUGCCCGGUGUCUUCGCCGCCGCAGAGCAAGGGGGGGGUAAGGAGGAGAAAGAACUCGCGGGGGCUCAGGCGCCCCGGCAGAAGGAGCAGGAGGAGAGCGGGGAGGCGAGAGCGCACGGCGGUGGAGAGCCCCUCGAUCAAUUUUCAUGCAAGAAUCAUUAUCGGUAAAUUGGAAAGCUGGCUGCCUGACAGCAGAUUUGUCUCCCCUAAUGAAAGCGAAAGGGUAGGGGCGCAGCGGCGGGCGGCUGCAGGCGGCGGCGGCUCCUUCCGUCUCUACGCGGCAUCUUCCAAGAGCUCCAUGCUUUGCAGAGCGAUAAUAAUAGUUUCACUUGCGAGCUUCUCCCAGCGCGGCCGCCAAGCUGGGCAGCAGAUCCGUGCGGUCUGGGAUCCGGGCGCAGAGAGCUGGGCUCCCCUCUCCAAACGCGGGGAGGGUGCAGUAGCUGGCAGCGGGGCGCUCCGCUCUGCCCCAAAGCGGGGCCGUUUGCAAACAGUGGGCGGCUGCGGGCGCCGCCGGGCCCCCCUCGGCUGCCCAACUCCGCGCUCUGGCCACUCGCCCGCCCUCCCCACCCACGGCUGACAGCUGCGGGAGCCGGAGUUCACCCGCCGCCCGGGCCUAGGAGGAGAAUACCCAAACCGUGCCCCGGGGGCUCUGGCCAGCCUUUUGUGAACCCACGCGGGACUGCGGAAACGCACACGCCGCCCAGCCCGGGUGAGCUCCUAAGGCGAGCAGCUUCUUUCUCUCCUUUCUCUUCCUUGCACCCCGCACCCCACCCUUAAAAAUCCCUGUUGCAAGUGUAAUCAAAUGCUUGAUACCAUCUUCCACACUCUCCCCGCACUGGUGCAUUAUCAGAUCCGGGAAGGCAUGCUUCCAGGCAAAUAGACCUAAUAAAUGCUAUUACUGGGAUUCUGCAAGCCCCGGCUGCACCAUAGUAACCAGAGCCCUGGCUAAUUUGGUUUAAGAGAACGAUCAACUGCACAGAGUGUGUGUGAGGGAGUGUGGAGUCUGUAUCUCUCCUCCCCACGCCGCCUCUCUUUCACACUAGCUCAAGAAGGCCCCAUGUGAUAAUUCCCCAAAUCGAAGGGGAAAAAACCCUGCCGCCAAACCACAUCCUGUGCGCUCAUUGUCCAGCCCAGCGAUUUUAAAGAGACAGGCUCCAUUUCCCCACGCCCCCACACACUCUUAAACACACGCUGCAAAGCUGCCUCUUGAUGUGACAAUUUAUUUUCAAGCCCUUUUACCUUCUGAAGGGCCCCUUGGUGGCACAGCGAGCCGGAAUCGCGACUUGGUGACACUAAGGGGUCACCUUUUGACCUCCCAUACAACCAUCCUGGUUUGAGGAACAGACCUGAGCCCGCAGGUACGCAGGGCGGGGCACCGCGGUCACGCCAAGCUUGGGUUCCUGCCAACGCUUUCCAGCCACUGCGUAAAUCAGGGGUCCCCAGCGGCAGCCCCGGGGUCCCUGCUAAAUGCGGCGGCUUCAGAUGACAAUUGAACUCCCGGAAUAUGAUACUCUAGAGGAGAGCUCCGGAGGGCAAAUUGGAGGAGGUGGGGGCACCAACCGUGCCUCCUGACCCCUCUGUGCCACCGACGCCCACUCCCCCCCCCCGCCCGCCAGAAGACUCUUAAACGGGCUGGGCGGAGCGCUCGGAGCCGAGGGAGAGGUGGCGCUCCUCCCCGCCGCCACCAACGGCUGGGUGGGUGCCGCAGGCAGGCGGCCGCCUU